rnacentral:lncRNA from 1 species
AUUUAUGAUGUACUGACUUUAAAUCCUCAAAAGUGUACUUAUAUUGGAUUUUGUGACGCACUGGGAAAUCACCUAGAGGCUAAAAAUAAUAAUAGCACGCUGGUUCUCGUUUGUAUCAAACUGUGACGUGUUUAUACGGAAUCCACUGACACAGCCGGUGAAACAAUAGAUACUGCAGAUGAAGCGUCAUGAAUUGUAGCUGAAUUACUUUGAAAUGAUAUUGAUUUGUAUUAAAUAUAAUAAUAAUUGAAUAUAAAAAAGAGAAAAAUAAUAU